UACGAAGGGGGCUAGCGUUGCUCGGAAUUACUGGGCGUAAAGGGAGCGUAGGCGGACAUUUAAGUCAGGGGUGAAAUCCCGGGGCUCAACCUCGGAAUUGCCUUUGAUACUGGGUGUCUUGAGUAUGAGAGAGGCAUGUGGAACUCCGAGUGUAGAGGUGAAAUUCGUAGAUAUUCGGAAGAACACCAGUGGCGAAGGCGACAUACUGGCUCAUUACUGACGCUGAGGCUCGAAAGCGUGGGGAGCAAACAGG
rnacentral:rRNA from 1 species